UACGUAGGGUGCGAGCGUUGUCCGGAAUUAUUGGGCGUAAAGAGCUCGUAGGCGGUGUGUCACGUCGGCCGUGAAAACCUGCAGCUUAACUGUGGGCGUGCGGUCGAUACGGGCAUCACUGGAGUUCGGCAGGGGAGACUGGAAUUCCUGGUGUAGCGGUGAAAUGCGCAGAUAUCAGGAGGAACACCGGUGGCGAAGGCGGGUCUCUGGGCCGAUACUGACACUGAGGAGCGAAAGCGUGGGGAGCAAACAGG
rnacentral:rRNA from 1 species